UACGAAGGGGGCUAGCGUUGCUCGGAAUCACUGGGCGUAAAGGGUGCGUAGGCGGGUCUUUAAGUCAGGGGUGAAAUCCUGGAGCUCAACUCCAGAACUGCCUUUGAUACUGAGAAUCUUGAGUUCGGGAGAGGUGAGUGGAACUGCGAGUGUAGAGGUGAAAUUCGUAGAUAUUCGCAAGAACACCAGUGGCGAAGGCGGCUCACUGGCCCGAUACUGACGCUGAGGCACGAAAGCGUGGGGAGCAAACAGG
rnacentral:rRNA from 1 species